rnacentral:sRNA from 1 species
UAAUAAGAUAGUAAAAAAAUAAAACCAAAUUUACGAAUUUUUUAGGAUUUAUAUUUAAAUUUGUAUAUAUUUAAAUAUUUUUUUAAACUAUUUCCAUAGUAAGAUUUUAUUAGUAAAGUUUUUAAAUGAACAUUUAAAUAUAAAGGAUUUCGCAAUUAAAGCCAAAAAAUUCGUAAAUUUGUUUUUAUUUUUUUGCUAUCCGCACAAUUGUUUUAUUUUUUUAUUUAUCAACUAGAAAUAUUAUAAAUCAAAUUUGAAUUUGAUAUGCGUUUUCAAAGUUUUUAUUUUAAAAACUCAUAUAAAAUUAACCAAAUAUACCACAAGCCCAAUUUUAAAUUGUAAAAAUUAUUUGAAGCUUAAUCUAUUUAAUGGGCUUUACCCUACAUUUAUUGCAUCUUAAUUCGAAUUUUAAAUAAUAAAAAUAGCAAAUAUAUAUUUACCUUAGUAUCUCGACUAUCUUUAGCGCUAAUAAUAUAUACAUUACACCUUUAAAAAGCGGCUGUCUGGUUUGAUAUACGUACAAAAUUUGACCUAUGUUGGGUAUUUGGUUGGAUUGUUAUAAUGGUUAAAAGAGCAAAAGAGAGAUGACCACUUCAGGGCCCUGUCCGCUUGUGGGUCAACCACUCUAAAUAAAACCAUUAAUUUUUAAUUGCCGUUAAAUAAAUUAUAAUAGCCUUUUGUAAAAAUAAAACAUUUAUUAAAACGCAAAAUUAAUAUCCGGGCAAAUUAAUAACAUUAUUUAUAUUAAAGUACCGAUAAUACAUUAUAACAAUUGAAUUUCCAGUAUAUUUACCAGGUUUCCCCGUCUUAUUUUAAUAUAUCCGGUUGUAUAAAAACAAAAAUAAAUUUGCAGUUAAUUAAUGUAAACGUCGCUAAUAUUUCCUUUAUAUUUUAAUUUUAAUAAAGCUAAAACAGGCUGUUAAAGCUUUUCUUUAUAUUUCGAACGCCUUCAAAAUAAAUUGCAAAACCCCUGUUGCUAAGUAUUUUUUUUUAUCAAAACUGGUUUUUAAAUUCUAAUUAUAUUGCAAUAUAAAAGUUAUUGGCAGUUAAUUGUUAAUAAAAUAAUAAGAAGAUGUUUAAAUUUAAUAUUAUAAAAAAUAAUGGGGCUGAAAAUUAGCGGCUUAAACUCUUUUGUAAAAAUAAUAUUUAUAGCGUUAUUUGCUUUUUGGCCCUAUUUUAACACAUAAUAUUUUUUUCAAUUUUAUAAUUUAAAUUCUUUUUCGAUUAUAACCUAUUUCCAUUAGAAUUUUAACGCUUAUAAGAUUGAAAAGUUAAGUCCAUCUGCUAAAGUUUUUUCGAAUUUGCAUACAAACAUUUACUUAGUGAAGUUUUUAUAUAAAAACGCACUAAUAAAACUGGUGUGUUUUAUUUCCCAAUUUUGUACACUUAUUAUAACUAAUAAUAUAUGUUAGGUAGGCGGUAUAUUAAUAUUAGCAAAAAUCACGGUACAAUGUGGGUUUUUAACCUGUAUAAGCCCCAUAAUAACAAAUUUGGUUUUAUAUUAUAUAAACCUAUUAUUUUUAUUUUGUUUUAAUUUAAAUACCGGCCGGGUAAAAAUUCCAAACUCGGUUUGCAAGCAUUUUAAUUUUAAAAAUAAAACGAAAGGUUUUUGUAAUAAUAACUUGGUUAAAUUUAAACGUUAAACUUAAUACACACUUAGCAUUUUGAGGCUUUCUUUUUAAAACUUGUAAUAAUAUGGAUUACCGUUUUUAAUAGAUUUUCUUCAUUUUUUUAAUGUUAAUAAGUAAAAAUAGUACACGUAAUUAAUAUCCGUUGGAUCUGGGAUUUCGAGUUGCGAAUUAAAUUUUAUAUUGUAUAAUUUAAAUGCCAAAACACUGGAAUGUCUAUUAUUUGAAGUAUUAAAUUAGGCACUGUUACUAUUAUAAGUUUUAAAGGGCGAAUAACAAAUUAUAUAAAUUUGGGAAAUAUUAUAUAAGGGGCUAAUACUGCGUGCGGAUUUAUUAGUGCCUAGAUACUAGCGUACGGCCCUAGGCGCUAGGUUCUGCUGAACUUAUAAACUCGCGUUAUAUAAACGCAAUAGGAACGCCGCUUAUAAAUAGGAGCUCCUAAAUCCUAAAGGUAGCAGGUUAGUCUUAAAUUUUUAAGGAUUAGUCUUUAGUCCAAAUAUUAUUACUAUAAUGCUAUCGUGGAUUAUUAUACGCUGUAUUAUAACCCUGUAUUUUAGCGGUUAGCGUUUAUUUAAUAUAUACUCAAUCCCCGGUCGUAAUAAUUUUAAUUUUUUUAUUUCGGUUAUUUAUAUAAUAACCGACAAUUAUCCAGACAUAUUGUUAAAAAUUGCUAAAUUUAUGGUCGAUUUCGACGCGGAAAAGAAUAUACGCCAAUUCGAGCGUUAUAAAACAAAUUAUAUAAAAAAGACUGUAUUUCUAACGGGAAACCAAAAAGGUUUAAAAACAAUAUUUACUUCUUAUUUAAAAAAGCGCCGAUUCCCUGAAAAUAAAAGGAAAAGGAAAUUAUAAAUCCUUAUAUUUUUAUUUGAAAAUUCAACUUAUUAUAAAAAUAACAAAAUAAUUGUUUAUUACAAAUAUAAAAAAUAUUAAAGAUAGAACUUCAAAAAUAUUGCACGAAAAAACGGAAAUUCGUUCAAAGGUUUUCAUCUUUAUCGAUUGCGUUUUGAAACCGUUAUAAUAUUUAUAUAUUGGAAUUUCCAAAACCUGAACGUACCGUUGCCGAAAUUAACUGGGAUAAUGUUAUUAAAUGGACAAAAACGUUUAUUAAAAUUAGCAAAAUAGAAACAAAUAUUUAAUUGCAUUUAAAAUAGGUUAAAUAUUAUAUAAAAUAAUUUCGUUUUAAUUUCCAUAUUUGUUUUUAAAAUUUCAUAUUCCAUAUAAAUAGGGAACCGAAUAAAAUGCUUUUUUACAGUUUUUUAACAAAUUGGUAUUUAAAUUGAAAAAACAAUUUCAUGUUUGUUAUGGUAUUAUAUCUUUUACCCGAUAUAAAACAGUGACUUGGAUAUAUAAAUAUUAAAAUAUUAUUAAGAAUAAAAAACAAAAAACGAGGCGUUAAAGGCAAUUUAACAAAACAAUUUUCCAGCAAAAAGACAAAAAGAAAGCCGAAAUAAUAAACACGGAAAAAAAAGGAAAAUUGCAAAUUACCCAAAAUAAGUUUUCCCAACGUAAAAAUAAAAACAAAAUUAAAACAGACAACGGAAAUUAAAUUAAACGCAAACCCAACGCAAAAAGGAAAUAUAAACCCGGAAAAUCCGAAAUUUUUAAUUAUUCGAAAUAUUAAAAAACUCAACUAACAAAAAAUUUAUUUAGGUAUUAUCGUUGCAAUAGUAAUACGUAUUUGGUUUGUUAAUAACCAAAGAAACUUUGGGAUUAGGUUAAUAACAAACCAAAGUUUCGGAUUGAUCCAAAUUUAAAAAGGAAACUAAAAUUUAAAUGGUUAAAAAUAAAAGUACGCAAAAUAAUUUUUUUCGAAAUUUACCAUUAUAUUUAAUAAACCUAAUAUUUUAAUUUCACCCCAACGUUCCACAUUACAACCCCGGCUUGGUUAUUAAAUUUACCUGGAAUUAUUACCAAAAUAAAUCUAAAUACAAAUAUAAAAAUCAAUUUAAUUUAUAAAGUUUUUGCGUUAUAAUAUUAAAUAUUUUUAUAAAUUUGCAAAACACCAAUUGUUAUUAAUAUAAAAUGAAACGAAAUUAUAAACCAGAAGGUUCGUUUCGUACAAUUAUAAAUUACCGAUUUUUAAAUAUUUCCCAAAAGAUAAUGGAACGUUUAUAUAUUAUUGUACAAAAAACAAAAAUAAACCUCGUAAUUUGGGAAAAGCCGCUUUUGGCAAAUAAAAAUAACAUUAUAAUUAUAUUUACGCAUUAAUAAUAAUUUAAAAUAUCAGAACCUUUUUCCAAAUAUAAAAUAGCGGUAACGUUUUUUAUAUUUAACCAGAGAACAUAUACGGGUUUAUACCGUUACCCUAGCAAAUUAAUUAUUUUUUAUUUUACCCGACGAAAAUAAAAAAAACCUUUUUUCAAACGAAAAGUUAUUAUAUUAUAAAAAUAUUAAAAUUAUAAAAAACAUUUUUAAAAAAGCAAUUAAGGGUAUAUUUACUAGUAUCGACGCGUUUUAUUUCAGUUAUUUAAUGGAAGAAAACACCUCCGCACUUACCAAUAUGUUUUUUAUUAUUAAAAGAAUCCGCUGAAUUACAAAAAUAUAUUAAAAGAAAACCUCAAAUUCAAACGUAGCCGCAAAUCUAACAAUUUUGCAAGAAACAAUUAUUUUUUUUAUACCUAAAGAAAUAAUAUUUUGCGUUUUUACGUGGAUUAUCGAAAUUUGAAUUCAGUUAUUGAAAAAGAAACAAAUACUUUUUACCCGUAAUUGCAAAAAUUAUAAUCGCGUGCAAAAUUCGCAGUAAUUUUCCAAAUUGAACUUUGAAAAUAUAUAUUAUAAAAUACGUAUUAGGAAAAAAAAUAAAUAGAAAAGUACCUUUCGCAUUCGUUUUAAUUAUUUUAAAUAUAUUAUUAUUUUCUUUUAAUUUUUGCAACGCCCCAGUAAUUUUCCAAAAUUAUAUAAUAUAAAUUUGGGAAAAUUUUGUAAAUCGUUAUUCCGUUAUAUAUUUGGACAAUAGUUUAAUUUAUUCCUUUAACAGAAAAAUCUAUAAAGAAUAUAUACGGAAAACUUUGAAAAAGGUUUGAGGGAACGUACUUUCACGCCAAAUUGUUUAAAAGCGAAUUUUAAAUGCAAAGGAAUAAAUUUUUGGAUUAUAUAAUCGACAUUAAAAAAAUAUUUAUCGGUAUACACAGAAUAACUGCUAUUUUAAAAUGGCCUGCUCCCAAAUUAUAUUAUAAUAUUUAGGUAUUUUUGGGGUUUUGCAAUUUGUAUCGUUGUUUUGUUUGUUAUUAUUUACUAAUUCGGCGUUUGUAAUUAAAUUUAUACUUAAAGUAUAACGAAAAGUAGGAAACCCCGGGGAUAUUACGCUUUUAAAACGUAAUACCAUUUUAUCAACGUCAAAAAAUUAAAAAUUGCGUUUUUGUAAAUAUUUUUAUUACCUUAUUACAACUUCUCGUUCCGUAUACGUUUAAAAGCUAAUAUUUCGAUAUACGCGUGGGGGGAAUUUGAUUAUAAUCUUUUAAAAACGGCUGGUAUUUUAUCGGUUUCCAAUUUCAAAAAUAACUUAAAAUCUAAUUAAAUUGGAAAACCACGGAUUUAAAAAUAGGUGCUAUAAUUAAAAUGUUCAAAUGUUAGGAAUAUUAUUUAUAAAAUAACGUAAUGCCAAUACUUAUAAUUACAGAUUAUCAAAGUUCACAAAGUUUUAUAAAAACACCCAGAUUUAAUAAGAAAACAGGCACGUUGGAUUAUAUUUCUUUUCUAUUAAUUUUAAAAUUAUGUACCGCGCAGGGAAACAAAAUUUCAUUAAGGGGCCGUCGAGGCGAUCUUAUUAUAAAAUAUUUAUUAUUAUAAAUGGCCUUCUACCCCUUUUGCAAAAGAAUUGUUAACACGGGGUUAAAAUAAAGGAAGAUUUAGCAAUUUAAAUAAGCUAUUGUGCCUUUUUCGCGUCGACUAUAUGCGCGAGUAUAUUAUAUUACCCGCGGAAAAACGAAGGAUAUAAUAAAAGUAAAACCCUUUGUUAUACAUUUGUAAAACCCACUAACGAUUUGCAAUAAAAUAAUAAAAGGUUAUAACAAUUUCGAAAGAAUAUACAAAAUAAUUAAAUUGUAACCCCAAGUAAUAUUUUUGGUUACAAAUUGAAGUUUUACGUACCCAAAAUUAACAGAGUACAAAAAAGCUUUUACAAUUUUAUUAUAAUAAUUUAUAUAUUGGAUAUUAAAAGAUUGCCAAAACUUCAAAAUUAUUUUACACAAUUACUAUUGGAAACAAAUAAGAAAUAAUGUAAAUUGGUACUUAAAAUUGUAUAGUAUUUAUAUAAUAGCAAAACCGAUUAAAUACCGCCAAUAUGGUAUAUUAAAGUUAUUACACCAUCUAAUAAAACCUGGGACGAAAUAAUUGUAAAUAUUAUUGUUAAAUGAUUCGAUAUAAAAUAUACUUUUACUAAGGUAAGCAUUAUUUUAAUUAUAAUAAAUAAAUUAAUUAAUAUGGCGCGGUUUUUAUUUAUUACAAACAAUAUAAAUAAUUCCGAAUGUAUUUAGUUUUUCACCAAAGAAAUUAAAUGCCGUGAUGGACUUUUAUUAGGUAUUAUUACAAAUAGGAAUUAAUAAUCUUCAAAUAUAUUUUGGAAAAUAUUAUAUUACAAAUAAAUAUUUAAAAACGUAUAUUUAUAAUAUCCCAUCUACAAAUAAACGGGGAUACCAGAAACUUUAUUUGGAUUAUAAAAUAAUAUUUUAAAAGUCACGUCAAAAAGUAAUAAAGUUGUAUAACGUGUAAAAAUAAGCGUAUAAUCUGGUUUAACCAAUAUAAAUUAUCAAAGUACCUAAUACGUUUCCAAUACAAUUUUUUAAAUUAUAAAAGUCCUUUUAAAUUAUAAAUAUCCAGGAACGCAAACAAUUAUCAAAUUAUAUUUUGCCCAAAAUUUAAAAUCGAAGAGAAUUGGGACGUAAAAAGAAUUAAAAAU